UAUAAGAAUAAAUUAUAAAUAUAUAUUUAAAGUAUUUACAAUUUAUUAAAUUUAUACAUUAAUUAUAUAUUUAUAAAAUAAAAAUAAUAUCUGUACGGAUCAAGCUCUAGUUUUAUAUUAAAAAAAUAAAAACAAAUGAAUUAUUAGAAAGGAGCAUUAGAAAAAAAGCUCUAGUUUUAUAUUAAAAAAAAUAAAAACAAAUGAAUUAUUAGAAAGGAGCAUUAGAAAAAAAGAACUGAAUAAGAAUAUAUGGGCAUUUGAUCCAAGGUCUUGUGACCUAAUUUAAAUAGACGGAAAAACAUCAGAUAAAAAUAUUGUAGUGGGCCAAGGAAAGAAAGAAAAGCCCAAAUUGAGAGAUAAGAGAUAUGUACGAAGAAACAAAUAACUACGUGACAAGAAUUAGAGUCAGCAAUGUUGAGGUGGCUUUAAGAAACCAACGAUUAGUAUCAAUUUGAUCCCGGAUUGAACACUAAAAUCUAUCUAUCUAUAUAUCUUAUACUAUAAAGUAGACUUCAAUCUCUCCAUUGGGCAUUUUGCGUCGGCAUGCAAAUCGACCAAUAAAUAAUAGUUAUUUUCGCCAUGUCAGAUAACCAAACCUCUCGCUGUAUUUCUUUCUCAACCUUCGUAGCUUAUUGAGAAAUUGAAAAGUCAAGAGACUUGAAUUUCUGCUCCACUCACUCAAUAACUUUGGCUAUUAUUUGCAUUUAUAAGAUCCGAAACACAAAUCUGGAAUCACUGUUCGACUUCUCCUCCUCUCCCACUUUUUAUAUCAUCAUCUAAAUCCGCUCUAACCUAAAGCCACUGUGGCAUCUAGAAAUUCCAAAUCAAACAUCCUCAUAUCUGCACGAGUCACAACUAUAGCCGCCUCACUAUGGUUUCAACUGAAGAGAGUCUUUUGGAAUGACCUCUAUGGAUCUUGGUAAAAAUUAAUUCCUCCGAUGAUGUUUACGGUCAGGAUUUUCUAUGAUUCAUGCGUCUGAUGCAUUUUUAGUGUGGGUUUUGAGUCAAAACUUUUGACCCAACCUAAAUAGGCUUAUUAUCAUGUUUUUGUGAUAUGUUAUCUGUUUGUAUCAUAAUUAUUUGAAAAUUGAAUUUACUGCACUAUGAUUGCUUGAGGAAAGGUAGAGCUCUCAACCCACUACUAUUCCGUUUUCUAUUUUUUAUUUUCUAGGAACAAAAUCUUUUCUAAUUUUCAUUUGACUAAACCAUUGAGGAUCAGCAGAAGAAGCUUAAUCAUCAAGUUAACUAAGAAAGAAUGAUGUUAAUAAGCUUCAGAUCAAGGUCGAUGAGAAGACAUGUCAAAUCGUUCCAUGCUCUCUUCAAGACCUUUGGUUGUGGGUCUGUGGCUCCGUAUCAUGUGUUCAUCUGUAGGUAUCCUCUUAAUUUUAAUGGCUACGGUGACUAUUUUAUGAUCCAGUCGUAAAUUUAGAAACUUUGUAUUUGCCCCAAAAAGUAAAUAUUUUUUGUAAUAUUUAUCUUAUCCGGUGAUAUGUCUUAUGUUAUCUUCACUCAUGAUCAAUGAUUUUAAUGGCCUCCCUGAUAUUUGUGAUCAUCUUUAGAAAGUUCACAAAACAUGUUCUUCCACAAUCCAAUCGACAAACCAAAGCCUCUGCCAAGACCUCUGAAAUCAAAUCAUAAUAUCAAAAUAUCUACAGGUAUUGCUUGGAUAUUUUUUUUAAAGUUUCAGUUCAUGUUUCUUAAUAAAGAUCUUCAUGAUUUGUUUUUGUAUACGUUUAUGAUUUCCGGAGCUUUGAUCAAAGUGUUGUUACUGGCUAACACAAACAUCCUCUUACCAGAUAUUGGUGGGGAAGUUAUGGGCAUCAAAACCACCCACAACGGUCAGUUCACAACUAACAACUUGCAUGUUCAUCCUCCUUACAUGGUGACAUAUAUUCAAUGAUCCCAGCGCUGAUAUGCCGGGGAGCUGCAUCUGUAAUAACAAAUCCCUCGCAUGGUGUGUACAUCGGUGUUUCUAUGACCAGCAGAAGGCUUGAUAGUCAUGGGAUGGUUGAAGAAAACAGAAGCGAGACAGCUCUACCAGGUGCUCGAGCUAUUGUUCCCGAAAUGACUGCGAAGUGCGGAGAAGCCAACAGUUCUGGAACAUGGGCUCUUUGUAAAGAAGGCAUGCAUUGAGUAAAAUCUUAAGUAAGGGAGUCUAUGACCCUCCUGUCGACUCCUACAAACUACGCUGGAGCUUUUUUAAAUUUCGCAUAUUAAUGAAAUAUGACUUGAGAAUCAUUCCCACCGCCAUGUUAUAUCUCAUCAAGUAAGCUCUGUUUUUACAUGUAUAUAUAUAUAAAUAAAAACUACCUUGCGAACUCGGUGGAGGCACUGACUUGAAGGUUCAA